UUCCCAGCCGGCUCGGCCGUCGCGGCCGGGAGGGAAGCGUUGACAGUGCUGCGGAGGCUGGCUGGGGUCGCGGCCGCGGCAAGUGACAUCGUUUUCCAAUCUGUCCGCGUCCGCAGCCGCCCGACACGGAGCCAGGAUGUUCGGGAUGCUGAGCAGCAGCUUUGAGGAUGACCCCUUCUUCUCUGAUUCUUUUAUUGCACACCGAGAAAGUAUGCAACAGAUGAUGAGAAAUUUCUCUGAACCUUUCGGAAGAGACUUGUUCAGCAUCACUGAUGGUAGAGGAAGAGCUCGUAAUCAUACGGGACAUGAGGAUGGUGAAAAUUCCUUGACUGCAAUGCGUUCCCUUAUGCCUUUUGGCAGUUUUGGUGGUAUGCGUCCAGAUGUCAACCCUUUUCAGGCAAUGGACCGAAUGAUGUUAAAUAUGCGAAACAGUAUGCAGGAAUUACAAAGAAACUUUGGUCAGCUUUCAAUGGAUCCAAAUGGGCAUUCGUUUAGCUCUUCCUCAGUUAUGACGUAUUCCAAAGUAGGGGAUGAACCGCCAAAGGUUUUCCAGGCCUCAACUCAAACCCGUAGGGCUCCAGGAGGAAUAAAGGAAACUAGGAGAGCACUGAGAGAUUCUGAAAGUGGAUUAGAAAAAAUGGCUGUUGGUCAUCAUCUCCAAGACCGAGCUCAUGUCAUUAAAAAGUCAAAGAACAACAGGACCGGAGACGAAGAGGUUAAUCAAGAGUUCAUCAAUAUGAAUGAAAGUGAUGCUCAUGCUUUUGAUGAGGAGUGGCAAAAUGAGAUUUUGAAGUACAAACCAGGGGGACACUGGCGCAAUCUAGGAAACUCCAGGAUGCGGAGCGUUGGUCAUGAGAAUUCAGGAUCCCGAGAGCUUAAAAGAAGGCUAUAAGAGAGUGGAGGAUUGCAGCAGAAGGUGGAAGGCUUCCCUGAACCAGCGGUGGACAAGGAGAAACUUCAUCAAAGUCCAGCCAUUGAAUAUGGAAGAAGAUCAAAUGCUUUUGUGGACAAACUCAACAUCAAAGGCUCACCUGUGAAAAUCAACAAAAAAUAAAUAGCAUUGCACUUGAUCUGUUUAGUUUCCAUGGUUUUAACAGAGAAAGUAAUGGUGCUGGAUGAUACACAUAAGACCAAUCUCUUGUUGUUGAAUUAAUACUGUAUUUAGCAACUUUCUUCUGAUGUCUGAAUGUUCUUGGAAGUGCUAGCUUUAUAUUGUCCCUACUUUAGGAAUAAAGCUUUGAUUUUCAACAAUGCAAGAAGCAUUAGACACUCUAUAUCAUUUUAAAACAUACUAAUUUUUAAAGCUCACCUGCUGAUUUUGCUUUCACAGUUAUUUUCCUAUUGCUAUGUAUCCUCCUAUAUAUUCAAUAUUGAAUGUACAGCUAGUCUAUCAUGUAAAAUUAGUUAUAAGAAGUAAAAUGUUAGAAAAUUAUCUGUUUUUACUAACACUAUAAGAGUGAUGUUCAUAAAGGUGAAAGCUAGCUUAAAGAAUUUUUAAAAAUAAAGUGAAUCUAUACUAGUACUCUUAUAAAAAAUUACUUUUAUAAAGAACACAAUGAUCAAAUAGUUCAUUUUCAAAGAGAUUUUAAAUUGCUAAUAUACAUGGAUUUUCUUCUUAUAAUUUAUUUUUACUAUGUAUUCUUUUUUUGUUCUGUGUUACAUUUUUAACAUUCAUCAGAAUUUACAUUGACCUUUGUCUUUAACAUCUUAAGGUAGAAUAUUUCUGUUCUCCUUCCCCACAGACAGCUUAAUCUAUCUCCCCGAUUAACAUUCUAAAGUUGGAGUGUCCUUGGAGAAACUCUGCUCAGCCUUUUUGUGACAUUUAGAAAAAUGCAUUUGGUAUUCUACAAACCUGAAUGAUUGAUUGUCUCAAAAUUUCUUAGACGGGUGAUGUGUGUGUUUGAGCAAGGUACUUAAUAAUUCAAUUGUUCCGUUUUUAAUUAUACUAUUUAAAGAUUCAGCUCUUGGUUUUUUUUCAUUCUAGAAUUCAAACAUUAAUCUGUUUUUAUAAAGUUAGGUUUGAAAUUUCUGAGAAUAUAAAAUCUUAACUCAGGUUUUUGUUGUUUCAAGGAGGAGAAAAAGAACAAAACCCUGUAUCACUCUAUAAUCCUAAUAUCUUUCUUUUUAAACUUUGUAAGUAGAAUUGGGUGAUUGUGCUUCUACUCUUCUAAUUUUCUGUAUCAUGUCCUGUUAAUUGUACCAGUCAGCAUUUCAUGCCUUUAGUCACUACAAUAAGAUGCAUAUGUGUCAAUUCAUUUUUAUAAUGGAAAAUAAUUGAGCAUGUAUUAGUUAAAGAUGUUAAAUUUUUCCUCUUAUGCAUAACUUAGCAGACUAAUAACAUACUAACAUAUUGGGAAGUUGUCAUAAAGGCAUACAUUUUAAAUAACAUUUUUGCAUAAAUUCACUUGACAGAGAAAAAUCCCAGUAGACACUGUAAUUCUCCUUUUGCCUAAAUUAUUACACUGAUGGUAACUUGAGUCAUUAUAUUCAAAUAUGAAAACGUGGUUUAAUAAAUAAUUGUACUAAAGACAGUA